UAGAGGACAGAGAGAUAGAGGACAGAGAGAUAGAGGACAGAGAGAUAGAGGACAGAGAGGUAGAGGACAGAGAGGUAGAGGACAGAGAGGUAGAGGACAGAGAGAUAGAGGACAGAGAGGUAGAGGACAGAGAGAUAGAGGACAGAGAGGUAGAGGACAGAGAGGUAGAGGACAGAGAGGUAGAGGACAGAGAGAUAGAGGACAGAGAGAUAGAGGACAGAGAGGUAGA